CUACGGGUUGCUGCAGCAGGGAAUAUUGCACAAUGGACGGAAGUCUGAUGCAGCGACGCCGCGUGGAUGAUGAAGGCCUUCGGGUUGUAAAAUCCUUUUCAGGGAGAAGAGGAAGGACGGUAUCCCUGGAAUAAGCGUCGGCUAACUACGUGCCAGCAGCCGCGGUAAUACGUAGGACGCAAGCGUUAUCCGGAUUUACUGGGCGUAAAGCGUCUGUAGGCGGUUUAGUAAGUUUGAUGUGAAAGCUCCAGGCUCAACUUGGAGAGUGCAUUGAAUACUGCUAGACUUGAGGGGAUCAGAGGAAAGCGGAAUUUCCGGUGUAGCGGUAAAAUGCGCAGAUAUCGGAAAGAACACCAGUGGCGAAGGCGGCUUUCUGGGAUCAACCUGACGCUGAGAGACGAAAGCUAGGGUAGCGAACAGGAUUAGAUACCCGGGUAGUC
rnacentral:rRNA from 1 species